AAAAAAAAAAUAUGUGGGUUUCCGGUUUCUUCGUAUAAAAACUUAGGUAGGGUAGGUCGGUUUUAACUUUUUUUUUUUAAACUUUUUUUUUAAUUUUCCGAACAAGCGGACGCCAUUUUGUUUAGUCAGUGCUUCCACAUCCAAAGAUAAAUUUCUCUAAUAUUGCCUCAAAUUUCAAUUUUCCACAAACUUUUUCCUCUAAGUGGAAACACUUACAACCAUGAUCCAAUAAAAAAGUUUAGGGUCGGGAUUUCGACGUCCAAAAGCUAGUAGGGUCGGGAAACCGGAAACCCACAUAUUUUUGUUUUGGCCUAAUGACA
rnacentral:lncRNA from 1 species